rnacentral:rRNA from 1 species
UACGGAGGGUGCGAGCGUUGUCCGGAAUCACUGGGCGUAAAGGGCGCGUAGGCGGCCUGAUAAGUAGGGGGUGAAAUCCUGCGGCUUAACCGCAGGGCUGCCUUCUAAACUGGCAGGCUAGAGCACAGUAGAGGCAGGUGGAAUUCCCGGUGUAGCGGUGGAAUGCGUAGAGAUCGGGAAGAACAUCAGUGGCGAAGGCGGCCUGCUGGGCUGUUGCUGACGCUGAGGCGCGACAGCGUGGGGAGCAAACAGG